rnacentral:rRNA from 1 species
GCGGAGGAAAAGAAACUAACCAGGAUUGCCUCAGUAAGGGCGACUGAAGCGGCAUUAGCUCCUCAUGUGAAUCGGUGACCGAAUUGUGGUUUCGUCUGUGCUAAGCAAUAUUAGCCAAGUCCGUUGGAACACGGCAGCAGAGAGGGUGAGACUCCCGUAGGCUGGUGUUGCCGAGCAGGCGUGGUCGAGUCGAGUUGUUUGGGAUUGCAGCUCGAAGCGGGUGGUAAAUUCCAUCGAAAGCUAAAUACUGGUGGGAGACCGAUAGCGUACAAGUACCGUGAGGGAAAGAUGCAAAGAAGCGCGAAAGCGCUGUUAAAGAGUACCUGAACUUGCUGAAGCGGAAGCGAAGGGAACCAGUGCCAGCUGCUCCAUACUUUUCUGUCUGCUUGCGGACAGGGCGCUGUGGUCAGCGUUGUACGGUUGGAUUGUGUGUGCGGCAAGAACCACUCAAGGAGUUGACUUGUGU